rnacentral:rRNA from 1 species
UACGAAGGGGGCUAGCGUUGCUCGGAAUCACUGGGCGUAAAGGGUGCGUAGGCGGGUCUUUAAGUCAGGGGUGAAAUCCUGGAGCUCAACUCCAGAACUGCCUUUGAUACUGAAGAUCUUGAGUUCGGGAGAGGUGAGUGGAACUGCGAGUGUAGAGGUGAAAUUCGUAGAUAUUCGCAAGAACACCAGUGGCGAAGGCGGCUCUCUGGCCCGAUACUGACGCUGAUGCACGAAAGCGCGGGGAGCGAACAGG